GGCUCGGUUGCGCAUGGUUGCGCGUCUGUUGAAACUGUUGAGAUCGAGUCCUGCUCACAAUGCAAGCAGAAAAUCCCGUUCGAUUCGGGGCUGGGCCG